UUUAUGCACUAUGGAAAUUUAUCAUCAUUACCACAACUGCUAAUCCAUACGGUGCCUUUGUAUUUUUCUAAAAUCUCUUAGAACUUAAAAGGCAAAUGCCCCAAAGGGAACAGAUGAUCUGUUAUGAUGUCAGACAACCAUGAGAAUAAAAAUGAGAAAGCAUGUCAUCAACACGAACUUGUGUUCUGGGAGGAGCUGGACUCACUGACACACGACUUGGAGCAGAACUGAGUCCUCCAUGGGCUCCACAGAGCAUGUGACAAUGGAGGUGAGCUCACUGCCUCUUCCCUGGGAAGAUGAAAGUGCUCUGCACAGAGAGGCUCAUGUCUUACCUCUCCUCUCUGCAGGACUUUGAGAUGGAGAUGAGAAAGUUGACGAAGACCAGGGGAGGCACUCUUCCCUAACAGAGCUCCAUGGACCACCUAAGGAACAGAAGAAUUUUAUGGUGAAGAACUUGGGUCCUUUGAGAAGGCAACAGUGUCAGGAGUCCAUGCAGCAUACCAGAGCCUCCAGCCUCAGGAGGCAGAGAAGAACAAGUGGGUUUAUGGAUCUGAAGGGUGGUCUUGGAUGCUCUUCCUGUGGAAGAAGGGCCCCCUUGCCUGGUGCUGCCCCAUCAAGCCCGGGCACUGGGGUCCGCCCUUAGGCCUGCAGACUGUCUUCUACAUGAUGGCUGAUGUCGAGAGGGGAGUGAAGGUGCCUCCCCCAAACACAGGCAUCAGCUCAGACUGCGCCAUAUUUGUGUUUCUGCAGAGAACACGCCUCACCUUUAUGCCACGUCUCUCCGUAUUCGCCACCUCCUCUGAUGUUGGCCACGGCAAGGACACCACCCAUGUGUCUCACGAAGAUGAGCCUGGACACACUGCGAGACGGUAAAAGGGUUAACUGCCACGAAGUGCCCGCGAGGAUCACACUGGCUCCCUCCACCACACACGCACCCCUGAAGACACUCCACAUGUGGUAUCAUCUGAACGGGAGCCCCGUGCUUACGUAUUUCACUUAAAUCAAGUAAUGUAAAACUUCUGACUGAUUAACUGCAAAGCUCAGACAUUUUCACGAGCAUUCAGUAUACCUCACUUUGAACAACUGUCUUGGCAAACAAAACACUGCCAAGCCACCUGACACAGGCCUCGUGUGAACACCCAGUACUCACUCCUGCUACACCAUUUUUUCCAGUAUCUUUCUCCAAAUUAAGUUGGAAAAAAGAAAGCUCUUUCUGAAGUAUGAAUUUUACACAGGUUUCUCAGAGAUUUACAUGUUAAACUAGGCAUGAGAGAGAGAGAAGAGAUCAAAGACACAGACCAGAAAACAAGAAUGGAGUGCCCAGGGCUGGAGGAUGUUUUCUAGAAACAAAUAGAAGAAACUAUAGCACAAAGCUUCUUUACAAAAUUUAGAUUUUGUUUUCCUCCUUCUCUUUCCACUGACCCUAACUGUAUUAGUACUGAGGUUAUUUCUCUGCUUGCUGUAACUGAAAUUAGUUUUGCUUUGAAACUAUUUCUGAAAUUUAUCAUUCUUUCUUUCAGUAACUGGGGAAAUGACAGGCUUCGGCAGCCGGAGGCUCUGGAUGGUCUGGGUGCUAACUUUCUGGAUGCUGAAAAUCACAGGAAGGAGAGCUGAGGCAUCAUUCCCAGGAAUUCGGACCCCACCCUGUGGGGUGGAUGCCCAAAUCUGCAGAUUCAGCACAUCUGCUGGCUCUCCUGAUGCAGGUGGAUCUAGGCUCAAAAAACUAGUCACGCUGUUGACUUGUAUCAUCCCCCUCUAGCCUCCUCAGUUACAUCAACCACAACCAGGUACUUUCCCACAGUCCUUGACAAUUCAAUCUGAGACUCUACUUCUCUUGGCCCAGUUCCCCUGCGAUUUUCUUUAGUGACUAGUGAUUUUCUUUCAGUGACUGGUGCGCCUGUCCUGCCUAGAUGCCUUACAGGCUUGAUCUCUGCUGCCCCCACACCCUAUCCACUUGUUUAUUCAAAUAUCUGCUGCAUGUCCAUUAUGUGCCCAGCACUGUGCUGAGACAUACAGAUGAAUACGACCUGGUUAAUUCCUUCUGUCAUGGACUUAACAUCUCCAGAGUCAAGUCGACAGGUACUGCAAACACCCAUCCCUUGGCCCUGAGAACUUGGAGCGCUUCUGAAAGGAACUCAUUUCCCCCGUGAUUGCAACUUGUUCUUGUUCUACCUUCUCUUCCUUACUCCUGAGAGUAGCUGUUUCCAGUGUUUGCCAUUUUUCUCCAUUCCAAGCACCACCCGUUUGCAUCUGCUGCUAUUUGGAUCUGGCUUUGCCUAUCUUCAUGGGAGUCAUCUGCUGGAAUUCCU